GUUUGAAUCAUAGCCCACAGCUUGCUGCACUGUCAAAUUUGUGUCUGCCAACAGAAAGGAAUGUAUUUCAGCCAGCAAGAGAGGGAACUCAGGAUUUGUGGCAAGGAAAAAUGGAAUGCAGUAGAGGAGAAAACUCCAUUAGAAAUUCUCUGAGGAGCCAGGAUCAUUCGUCUUCCUCUUCUGGUUGUCAGUGGGCCACUCUCUGCCUACAGCUGCCACCAUCUCUCUAAAGGAAAGAAACACAGCAUGCUUAUUUGCCUCUGCUAGUUGUAGAAUCAGACAGAUCGUUGAUAAAGCCCUGCGUCAACCUCUCAACCUAACCUUUUACUUUAUCAGUAUCCUGUCCUCUAGAUGGGAGAUGGGAGUGGGAGCCCAAUCCUUUUCUUUUCUUUUUUCUUUUCUUCUCUUCUUUUUUUUCUUUUUUCUUUUUUUUUGAGACAGAGUUUCGGUCUUGUUGCCCAGGCUAGAGUGCAAUGGUGCGAGCUCGGCUCACUGCAACCUCCGCCUCCCGAGUUCAAGUGAUUCUCCUGCCUCAGCCUCCCGAGUAGCUGGGAUUACAUGCAUGCACCACCACACCCAGCUAAUUUUGUAUUUUUAUUAGAAAUGGGGUUUCUCCAUGUUGAUCAGGCUGGUCUCGAACUCCUGACCUCAGGUGAUCCACCUGCCUUGGCCUCCCAAAGUGCUGGGGUUACAUACGUGAGCCACCGCACCUGGCCCAACCCGCUCCUUAUCAAAAAACUUCACCCCGUUGUGGCCUCUUUAUCCUUCACGUGUGUGUCCUGUCCACUAGUCCGUCUUUCCAUGAUUGGUUUGCACACGGCCACUUCAGACCUCCCUACUGCCCAAUGUAUCUACUGUUAUCUUCCUAAAACUCAUGAGCUUUAACCAGGAAAUUGGACUUUGAAUUCAAAAUAAGUAAAACAAUUAGAAGACCAGAAGUACAGGGAGUGCUCUAUUUUACUUCUUGCUGUUUGUGUUUAUUUCCCCAGAGACAGAGCACUACGGAAGGGAGCCCCAUUCCCAAGCAUGGUGUCCAAUACACUGAAAGAAUAACUGGGCUCAGUAAUGCACCUAGAGACUCAGAUUCCAGACCUGCCCACUUGCUUUACUAUCCAAAACAACCAUGACACAUGACUUCUCUGGCGGGGUGUUGGCCAAGACAAACUGAACUAUAGAAGAUCCUUGACUUGCCAACGUUCAAAUGAUGAACUUUCAAAAAUAGCGAAACUGGCUGCAGAGCAAAAGCUUUUCAGCUCUGCACAACACCAACAGAUGGCGCUAAGUGUCACCCUUGUGGAGAGCAGAGGGACCUCGGAAGGGCCUUUGGAAAUCUAAUCUGGUUUUGAGUUCUUGGUGGGAAAAUGCACCUUUAAGUUGGGGGAGUUUGAAGACGUUGCCAAGACACGUGCUGCAGCAUUUGAUCUUUUCUGCCGCACUGGCUUCUGCAAUUAACAUGCUUUCACCAGUGAAACUCAGGUUGCGGGGAGAGCAUUCUUCCAGGUUCAUGCCUGUUGUCAUGGAGUAAUUAUAAUUCAUGUCUCCGUUCACAGUGUCCUGGUUUGUAGAAUAAAAUAUCUGGUCCACCCACCCAGUGGGAUCUUUGAGAAUCCAUUCAUUUUAGAGUCAGCAUCUGUGGCUGGUUCCAAGACUGUAAUUUGCUUCCUUGGCAAAUGCCACACUACAUCAAAAGGGGGCAAAAGAGUAUGAUUGCUCUAUUUUUACUUAGAAUCCAAGUGGUAAUUUAUGGAAUACAGGGGUUCUCAACCUCAGCACUAUUGACGUUGGAGCUGGAUAAUUCUUUGGUGGUUGUGGGGGAGGGGCGAGGGCGGGAGUCCUGUGCUUUGCAAGAUGUUUAGCAGCACCUCUGGCCUCCACUUGCUAGAUGCCAGCAACACCUCCCCACUCUCUCCCAAUUUGUGACAACCAAAUACGUUUCCAGACAUUGU
rnacentral:lncRNA from 1 species